GACGAACGCUGGCGGCGUGCCUAAUACAUGCAAGUAGAACGCUGAAGGCGGAGCUUGCUUCUCUGGAUGAGUUGCGAACGGGUGAGUAACGCGUAGGUAACCUGCCUGGUAGCGGGGGAUAACUAUUGGAAACGAUAGCUAAUACCGCAUAAGAGUACCUGUUGCAUGACAUUUGCUUAAAAGGUGCAAUUGCAUCACUACCAGAUGGACCUGCGUUGUAUUAGCUAGUUGGUGAGGUAAAGGCUCACAAAGGCAACGAUACAUAGCCGACCUGGGAGGGGCGGCUGCCACACUUGGGAUGAGAAACGGCCCCAACUCGUACGGGAGGCAGCAGUAGGGAAUCUGCGGCGAUGGACGGAAGACUGACCGAGCAACGCCGCGAGAGUGAAGAAGGAUCUCGGAUCGUAAAGCUCUGUUGUAAGGGAAGAACGAGGGUGUGAGUUGAGAGGUCACACGGGUACGGUAUCUUACCAGAGAGGGACGGCUAACUACGUG
rnacentral:rRNA from 1 species